rnacentral:misc_RNA from 1 species
GAUGAAGAACGUAGCGAAAUGCGAUACGUAAUGUGAAUUGCAGAAUUCAGUGAAUCAUCGAAUCUUUGAGCGCACAUUGCGCCCGCCAGCACUCUGGCGGGCAUGCCUGUUCGAGCGUCAUUUCAACCAUCAAGCCCCAGGCUUGCGUUGGAGCCCUGCGGCUGCCGCAGCCUCCUAAAAGCAGUGGCGGGCUCGCUAUCACACCGAGUGCAGUAGAUUACUCUUCGCUCAGGGCGUGCAGCGGGUUCCGGCCGUGAAACCCCCUACUUUUAAAGGUUGACCUCGGAUCAGGUAGGAAUACCCGCUGAACUUAAGCAUAUCAAUAAGCGGAGGA